rnacentral:rRNA from 1 species
UUUUAAAGUUAUAAUUAAAUAUUUUUGUUGAUUAUUUUUGUUAAUUAAAAUUAUAUUUUUUUUUUAAGUUUUAGUAUUAGUUUAAAAUUAAUUUUAUUUAUUAUAGAGAAAGUAAAGAAAUUGAAUUUAAUUUAAAAUUAAUAAAGUAGAUUUUUUUUAUUGUACCUUUUGUAUCAGGAGUCAUUAAUAAGAAAAUUUUUAUUAAAUAUUUCUCGAAUUUUAAAGAUCUAAAUUAUUAUGAUAGUUAAUGUAGAAAAAUUAUUAUAAAUUUUAAUUUAGUAGUGAAAUGUUAAACGAUUUAAAUGAUAUCUAGUUUUUUUAGAAAUAAAUUGAAUUUAUUAUUUAUUUUUUUAUAUGUAUAUUGAAUGAUAUAUAUAUAUAUAUAUAUAUAUUUUGUAUAUAUAAAUAUUUAAAUAAAAAUAUUUUAGGGAUAAGCUUAAAAUAUUAUUUAAUAAUUAAAUUUUAGUUUAUAUUUAAUUAAAAUAUUUAUAGUAAUAGAAAUUUUUAAAAAGUAUUUUAUAAUUUAUAAAUUUUGUAAAUAAAAAUUGAUUUAAAUUUAAAUUUUAAAUUUAUAUAAAAAAAUUAUUUUAAUUAUGAUAAUUAAGUUAUAAUGAUGAUAUAAGUAAAAUUUAAUAUUUAAAAAUUAUAAUUUUAUUAAAAAUUAAUAUUAAAGAAUUAGACAAAUAUUUUAUUCACCUGUUUAUCAAAAACAUGGUUUAUAGAAAUUAAUUAUAAAUCAGUUCUGCCCAAUGAAUUAAAAAUUUUAAUGGCUGCGGUAUUUUGACCGUACAAAGGUAGCAAAAUCAAUUGUUUUUUUAUUGAAAACUGGAAUGAAAGAGCUAAUGAGAUAAAAAUUGUUUCAGUAUUAAAUUAUUGAAUUUAAAUUUUAAGUUAAAAUGCUUAAAUUUAUUUAUUAGACGAAAAGACCCUAUAGAAUUUUAUAAAAUUUAAAUAUAAAUAAUUUUUUUUGUAAAUUAAGUUAUUUAAUUUAAUUAUAUUUUAUUGGGAGGAUAGUAAAAUUUAAUUAACUUUUAUUUAUUUAAAAACAUAGAUUAAUGAUUUUUUGAUUAUUAUUAUAAUUGUGAGAAAAAAUUACCUUAGGGAUAACAGCGUAAUAUUUUUGGAGAGACCUAAUUGAUAAAAAUGUUUGCGACCUCGAUGUUGAAUUAUGAUAUAAUUUAAAUGUAGAAAUUUAAAUUGUUAGUCUGUUCGACUAUUAAAAUCAUACAUGAUUUGAGUUCAGAUCGGUGUAAGCCAGAUCGGUUUUUAUCUAUAAAAAUAAUAAUAUUUUUUUGUACGAAAGGACUAAAAAUUUGAAAUAUUUUUUUUAUUAAUGAAUUAAAUUAAUAUAUUAUUAUAUAAAAUUGAUUUAAAAAUAUAUUUUUAAUAUAUAAUAAUUAAUAUUUAUUUUGAUAU